rnacentral:rRNA from 2 species
GUGAAAUUGAACUCGCUGUGAAGAUGCAGUGUACCCGCGGCAAGACGGAAAGACCCCGUGAACCUUUACUAUAGCUUGACACUGAACAUUGAGCCUUGAUGUGUAGGAUAGGUGGGAGGCUUUGAAGUGUGGACGCCAGUCUGCAUGGAGCCGACCUUGAAAUACCACCCUUUAAUGUUUGAUGUUCUAACGUGGACCCGUC